GGGUCCGGAGACGGCAAUCAUGCGUUUCCGGAGGAGAGAGGGUGGUCGGGCCGCCAUCC
rnacentral:ncRNA from 20 species